GUUCUGGGCCGUGAUUAUCGUCUGGACUGAAUACCCCAGCCAUGCACAAGUCAUCGGGAUCCUUGGCAGCAACAUCACCCUUCAAUUUACAUUCAACGUUAGCAUUACUGAAAACAGUCAAAUUGGAAUUUAUACAACAGGCGAGAAAAAGAUUGAUGAUUUUAAAAGUGGGAAAAGUUCCUUUGAUAUUUACCCCCAAAAGAAUUCUGUAUUUUACCACAUCACAAAUCUCACUCUAAGCCACAGUAACACCUACUGGGCCAGUUUACUUGGUGGUAUCCCGAGAAAAAGUAAUGAAGUGGAGCUGUUCAUUGAAGAGAAGAACACACACAGUACAGACCCCAGCCAUGCACAAGUCAUCGGGAUCCUUGGCAGCAACAUCACCCUUCAAUUUACAUUCAACGUUAGCAUUACUGAAAACAGUCAAAUUGGAAUUUAUACAACAGACGAGAAAAAGAUUGAUGAUUUUAAAAGUGGGAAAAGUUCCUUUGAUAUUUACCCCCAAAAGAAUUCUGUAUUUUACCACAUCACAAAUCUCACUCUAAGCCACAGUAACACCUACUGGGCCAGUUUACUUGGUGUCAUCCCAAUAAAAAGUAAUGAAGUGCAGCUGUUCAUUGAAGAGAAGAAUACACACAGUACAGCCACUGAAACACCCGCUGAGCCUCCACAGUACAAUAGUAAUGCCAUCAUCACUGUUAUCCGUGUCUUCGCCUUCAUCACAUCUUUGGCCUUGGUUGUGGGAGUCUGCAAGAUCUACCAUCUGAAAUGCAUCAAGUCCAGAAACUAAACAGCCACAGAUGGUUAACAGAAGAAAGACGAGACUGAUGGAGCAGAUCCGUGUGUCGUAUACUUUCACACUGGCAUCAAGUUCAUAAAUAACAUAAUGAUUUAUCUGACACAUCUUAAAGAUCUUUUUUUUUCCCUUUUCAGUUUUUUUUUUAAAUGCUUUUUAUAAGCAGAAAAAAAUAAAUACUAGCUUCUAUUAAAUAAAAGCAAAAGUAAACAUGGAAGUGUUGCAGAGGGUCUAAAUACCUUUAGAUGAAAUGAUUUGUUAACAUUUUAUUUUUGGGCUUUUACAUUUGAAACUAUUCUGUAGAAAACCUUCAAUGCAGUGGAUGACAUCAGAGGUUCUUUUACAGCAAACUUGACACUUGUUACAUGUUGUGUUACAUUUAUACGGUGAUUUCCUGUUUGUAAUAAAAC
ensembl:lncRNA